AUUUCCAAGUCAAGAAAAGGACAAAAGCCCUUCCUAGAUCCUGGGUUCGCCCCAGGGAACUCCCCCGGAUCUGGUUCCAUUCCACAGGGAUGGCACUGGAACUAUGGGCACCAGCCAUCUUGACUUCGAUGAGAGGUAAAAACAGCGCUGACUUCAACAUGGCCAUUGCUCCCUUCUGUGAGGUUAAAUGGCAAGAAGCACUAUUCUCCCGUGUCGUCCUCUUCCAGGGUGUGCUGUGGUUGCUGAGUACCUGACACUUAGGUGGGCUCAGUCAGGACAACUCUGCCCUUUUUUUUCCUGCUAAAGACUAGACGGGAGCCACCUUCCUCAUGGAUGCCACCCCUCUGACAGGCACCAGUGGGUCAGCACGCAGAGGGCCAUCUGCCGAGAUGAGGACACCAAGGCACGGAGACGAAUGUGCCGGAGCUCACACAGUGAUACCCCUGCUGACAGAAGCAGAUUUCAAACUCAAGCUGUCGAACGCCCACGCCAGGCUCUUAAAUCCCUUGACGUCUUUGACCUGCUGUUUCCUCCUCUACAAAAGCAGCCAGGUGAGGAAAUUUACCUCAAAGCUGGGCUGUGAGAGACUCCCAUGAACGAGGGAUCCGAUCAGUUGUGUUGUUGUCACACCGCAGAAUACAAUACAGCCCUGAAAAGGG
rnacentral:lncRNA from 1 species